UAGGAACCUAUAUGUCAGGAAAGAUGUAUCAUUUUGGAAAUCGGAUGUUAAUAGACAUUGUUAGUCACAGAAAUACUAGUGCACAUAAUACAAUUAAUCUGAUUUAUAUAUCUGCAUAAUCUUUUGAAAUUCACAGAAUUUUAAAAAUAAAUCUUUCUUUCCACAUUUAGGAUUCUUCUGACAUCCUGACACCACUGAGCAGCUGAGCCUACAUAGAAAUAAGAGCAGUGCUUGGAUCACUACUUUGUAGAUGGGGAGAAAAACCCGAAUAUAAGCCCCUGAGCACCAGCACAAGCUUCUGACAUCUUCAUUCACAUCUGCUCUGUGAAAUCUGCUAGAAUAUGCCGUAAGGAAAGCGAUUUUCCAUCUUUUGUGUGUGGGGGAAUAUCUUGUUCUACAUUUGUCAUGUACACACAUCAUCAUGCUUUCCAGUUUUAGACCAGAUGGAGUGCUGCAAGAGACAAGUUCAAGCACUUCUGAAUAAUGGAGAAGGACGAAGGGAGCAAGACUCUUCCUUGCGUUCUCAGGUAUGUAAGGUUUCUAGAGUCAUGAGUAUUCUGCUUGCACUUUUAUAGGCGAAUUUAGGUUUUAAUCACCUAUAGUCCAACCAAUGAACACAGUAAUCUGGGCUGAAUACAGUGGAAAUUCACAUGUCUUGAUUUUCAACACAGCCUAAGGUAGUAGCUAUUUUAGAAUCAGCAUCUUCACCAUGAAUUCCAGUUAAGGAAAGGUAGGUAAAUGUUGGUCUCUACCACUCUGGCUUCCCAAUUUUGUGAUGUGCAGGAAGUCCAGGAUGCUUUCGAGUUAUUUAAUGAAAUUUCAAAUAUUCUCCAAAAGCACUGGAGUUGUUUCUCCUAAGAUUCCAUGAGAAACUGAUGAAGGAAUAUGUUUUUAUUUUCUUCCUAACUAGUUUCUUAAAGGUGGAUAUUUGACCACCAUCAUAAUUAUAAUUAUCUGCUAUAUUACUCUUUUAAUACUUUCAAUAACAAAAUAGAUAACUAAUGAGUACCUAUUGUAUGGCACAGGAACUCUACUCGAUGCUCUCUGUUGAUCUAAAUGGGAAUAAUUUCCAAAAAAG
rnacentral:lncRNA from 1 species